rnacentral:rRNA from 1 species
UAGGGAAUCUUCGGCAAUGGACGGAAGUCUGACCGAGCAACGCCGCGUGAGUGAAGAAGGUUUUCGGAUCGUAAAGCUCUGUUGUAAGAGAAGAACGAGUGUGAGAGUGGAAAGUUCACACUGUGACGGUAUCUUACCAGAAAGGGACGGCUAACUACGUGCCAGCAGCCGCGGUAAUACGUAGGUCCCGAGCGUUAUCCGGAUUUAUUGGGCGUAAAGCGAGCGCAGGCGGUUAGAUAAGUCUGAAGUUAAAGGCUGUGGCUUAACCAUAGUACGCUUUGGAAACUGUUUAACUUGAGUGCAAGAGGGGAGAGUGGAAUUCCAUGUGUAGCGGUGAAAUGCGUAGAUAUAUGGAGGAACACCGGUGGCGAAAGCGGCUCUCUGGCUUGUAACUGACGCUGAGGCUCGAAAGCGUGGGGAGCAAACAGGAUUAGAUACCCUGGUAGUCCACGCCGUAAACGAUGAGUGCUAGGUGUUGGGUCCUUUCCGGGACUCAGUGCCGCAGCUAACGCAUUAAGCACUCCGCCUGGGGAGUACGACCGCAAGGUU